CGCCGCGUGAGUGAAGAAGGUUUUCGGAUCGUAAAACUCUGUUGGUAGAGAAGAACGUUGGUGAGAGUGGAAAGCUCAUCAAGUGACGGUAACUACCCAGAAAGGGACGGCUAACUACGUGCCAGCAGCCGCGGUAAUACGUAGGUCCCGAGCGUUGUCCGGAUUUAUUGGGCGUAAAGCGAGCGCAGGUGGUUUAUUAAGUCUGGUGUAAAAGGCAGUGGCUCAACCAUUGUAUGCAUUGGAAACUGGUAGACUUGAGUGCAGGAGAGGAGAGUGGAAUUCCAUGUGUAGCGGUGAAAUGCGUAGAUAUAUGGAGGAACACCGGUGGCGAAAGCGGCUCUCUGGCCUGUAACUGACACUGAGGCUCGAAAGCGUGGGGAGCAAACAGGAUUAGAUACCUUGGGUAGU
rnacentral:rRNA from 1 species